AUUUAUUUAUUUACUUUUCUUUCAUUCUCCUGACCACCUCUGACAUUGUUUUUAUUUUGAGGAGAUUUAAAAAUAACUUCCCUGUACUCAUUCAUCUUGCUCUCCUGAGAUAGAGGGAAUUUUCACAUUUUCCAGCCAGUUUUAAUGUAGCAGAAACAAUCAGAGGUGCUGCUGUGACUUUUGGUGUAUUAGAAAAGGGGAGGGCUGGGGCAGGUGGGCUUGGCCAAUAAAAUACAGCUGGGGAACAGGAAACUGCAGAGAGAUUUCCCAGACUUGGCCUGCGCUGCAGCCCCGCUGUGCUCUCCUGUGAAGCUGCACCAGGCCUCUGGGCUGAAUUCCCACCUGGGCUUGAGAGGGCCCUCCCAUGUUGGUCCUUCUUGCUCCCUAGUGCAAGACUUCCUUUGCCCACAACGACACUGCCUCCCAUGUACAGAACAGUGCUAUCGCUAUGACUCAUUUCUGCAUCUUGAUUGCUGAGAUCACUGAUCAGGUUUGUGACAAAACAGCAUCAAAUCUGAAGAGUUGUGUCCUCCCCGCACCACCCCCCUCGCCCCCACCAUUAUUUGCUCACCUUGAAGGUAAUCCAGGAUAGGAGUCCCUCUGAAGCAAACAGAACAUCCAUCAAAGACCCGAAAGAACAUAAGGCCGCAAAUCCUAUCUAUGAAGAUAGGCACUUCCAUUCAUUCUGAAGUCCUCACAUAGUAGUUAUUCAGUGAAUGUACCCUGGGAUCCACUUUUCACCUUUCCCCUUACCUGCUUUGUGCUUCAAGAAACUGACUUCAACAGACAGCAUCAUCUGGGCUUCUUUACCCUGUAGUGUUCAGCUGAGUUCAGCCAAUGGAAGACACUAGUAGAAGACUGGAAGGAUAGAGGAGAGAAAGAUUGGAAUAUUUAUUCCCAUCUCAUACUACAGUUUUUGUAGUGAUGGUUCUUCCUAUUGGACAGCUUCCACCUAUAACUACAGUUCUCUCCUGGUUCCAGAAACUGCUUUCUCCACUUCUGACCUAGGAGUAGCCACAGCUCCCAGCUGUUGUUAGACCCCAGGUGUAUUUUGUCAUCUCUUGUUACUUCCCUUAACCCUGCCACAGCUCUGAAAAUAGUCCAGUAAUUAAAUACUUUUUGAGCUAUUUCUUUGAGUAUACCACCUGUUUGUUUCGUGCCUGGACCCUGAGUGAUACAGUAUAAUAAAUAAUGUUCAAUACAAUAUACAAUGUAAAAUACAAUAGAUAAUACAAUUCCUAAAAACAAAAAGGAAGAAAGGAAAUAAAGAAUAAAAAAAGAAACAAAGAAGGAAAACCGGAUUUCUACCACCAAAAUGAAAUUAUUAUUACAAUUAUAGUGUAUUUACUUUUAGCUUUUUAAAUGCAAUUUUUAUGUAGUCAUUACUGUGGUAUAUAUGUAUUUAUGCUUAUUAAGUAGUUAUUUUUAACAUUGCCU
rnacentral:lncRNA from 10 species